GCAGUCAGCUAGUUUGCCACAGCCCUGCAUGACAGUCAGAAGACAGCCUCCGGGGUGCUUGCUAGAAGACCCUCAAGCUCCUGGCCCAGACAGCUGGAAGGAAGGCCGGGCUUUGCUCUGGAGGACCACUGGGCUGGCGAGGAACAUUCGAUGAGGAUUGGGGAGAUGAAGUGAUUUGUGAUAUUUUGUAUACGACUAGAGCGACAUACUAAAACACACGCAAGAUCUGUCUUGAAAAAUGCUGGUAAGCAAAACAAACAUUCAAACUCCAAUUUGCACCACCAGGAUGAUCCCUGUUAAAAUUUUUGAUUUGUGAAGGGAGGCAAAACUGCCACUUUGCCCUGCUUUCGUAAACCUUAGCAAACUAACAUCAUAUUGGAAUUUAAUUUAUAUCAUUUAUAAUGAACCAGAAAUAGGAAGUAAUGAGAAAUAAGAUCAGGUGGGAAAAAGCCUUUGCAUCCUGAGGCAAACCAAAUGUAAAAGGGUCACUGUAUCUAUUUUUUUUUCCUGAGAAAAUAAAACUUUGCAUAUUUCCUGUUAUCCUGGACUCUCUCCCCAAACCGACUUUAUCCCUGUCUCUUGCUACUGUCUGAACAUAUAUGUUCCAACCUUUUUAAAUGUAAAAAUACAUGUGGGAUGAACUCAGGAACUUUGGUAAUUUUACAGUUUGGUCCUUUAAAUAAUUUUUAAUUUUUCAUUUUUAAUUGACAAGCCAGUUCUUCUGAAAUUGUAGUCUCUCUUACCUCUUCAUUCCUUUGAUACAUUUUAUAUCAUUGUAGAAUUUUCUAUUAUUAAAUAAUAUACACUUCA
rnacentral:lncRNA from 1 species